rnacentral:misc_RNA from 1 species
GAUGAAGAACGUAGCGAAAUGCGAUAAGUAAUGUGAAUUGCAGAAUUCAGUGAAUCAUCGAAUCUUUGAACGCACAUUGCGCCCAUUAGUAUUCUAGUGGGCAUGCCUGCUCGAGCGUCAUUAAGUCCACUUAAGCCCUGCUUAGUGUUGGGAGACUGCUCCAGCGGUGCUACCCUGUAGCUACCCUGCAGCUCCUCAAAGACAGCGGCGGAGUUGUGGUAUCCUCUGAGCUUAGUAACUUGUUCUAGCUUUCGAGUACACCACUUCCCCUGCCGUAAAACCCUUAAUUUUUAAUGGUUGACCUCGGAUCAGGUAGGAAUACCCGCUGAACUUAAGCAUAUCAAUAAGCGGAGGA